rnacentral:rRNA from 1 species
UACGAAGGGUGCAAACGUUGCUCGGAAUUACUGGGCGUAAAGGGCGCGUAGGCGGCCGCCUAAGUCAGACGUGAAAUCCCUCGGCUCAACCGGGGAACUGCGUCUGAUACUGGGUGGCUUGAAUUCGGGAGAGGGAUGCGGAAUUCCAGGUGUAGCGGUGAAAUGCGUGGAUAUCUGGAGGAACACCGGUGGCGAAGGCGGCAUCCUGGACCGAGAUUGACGCUGAGGCGCGAAAGCCAGGGGAGCAAACGGG